GGAAAAUAGUAGCAGCAGUAACUGUAGCAGUAGUGUUUUGAUUCCUUCUUCCUGCCAUGAAACCUACUUUAGUGAUACUAACCGUAUUCUGGCAACAAAUGAUGAUUCCAUGUCCAUGGAUUUUUGUAUCAUGGAUGAGAAAAAUUCAGGCUCUUUUGUCCCAAUAUUUCCUGAAAUUGGAAUGACAGAAACCAUCUGUAUGAAUGAAAAUAUGAGCAGUGCUAAGAUGGGGAAUUUAGAUGACAGUCAUCCAGUGGCUAAUCCUGUUCCUGCCAGGGGAUUGCAGCUGAAAAGAAUGCUUGAUUUCCCUGAAUCAGAAGUCAAUCCACCAGAGAAUAAAAAAUCUCGUGCUACAAGAGAUAUGCAAAAGAGCAAGAAGAAUGUAAAGUCCAAGAAAAACCAGAAGUUCAUUCCAAGUAGCAAUGAGGAAAAAGAGAGAAAUGCUGGACUUGAUGGACAGAGUUCUAGCAGUUGCAGUUCAGAGGAGGAUAAUGUUUCUCAUGAUUCUAAAGCGUCUGAAGUUCUCAAUUCCAAUGGCAAGGCAAGAGCUAGUAGGGGAUCUGCCACAGAUCCCCAGAGCCUUUAUGCAAGGAAAAGAAGGGAGAGGAUAAAUGAGCGAUUGAGAAUCUUGCAGAAUCUUGUUCCUAAUGGAACAAAAGUUGAUAUCAGUACAAUGCUAGAGGAGGCAGUUCAUUACGUAAAGUUUUUGCAGCUCCAGAUCAAGCUUUUAAGCUCUGAUGAUCUGUGGAUGUACGCUCCUAUUGCUUACAAUGGAAUGGACAUUGGCCUCAAUCAGAAGAUCUCUAUGCUUCUAUGAUGUUGGAGGAAGCUGUCAGAACUUUAAAUUAAUGUUAAUUUUUAAUAUAAAUGAGAUUAUUAAUAUAUAAUUAUAUCAACUAAAAUAAUUUC
rnacentral:misc_RNA from 1 species